UGGCUCAGUAGCUCAGUUGGUUAGAGCGUGGGACUCAUAAGCCUGAGGUCGUGUGUUCGAGUCACACCUGAGCCAU
rnacentral:tRNA from 1 species